GACGAACGCUGGCGGCGUGCUUAAUACAUGCAAGUCGAGCGAUGAAGCUUCCUUCGGGAAGUGGAUUAGCGGCGGACGGGUGAGUAACACGUGGGUAACCUGCCUCAAAGAGGGGGAUAGCCUUCCGAAAGGAAGAUUAAUACCGCAUAAUAUCAUUUUAAUGCAUGUUGAAAUGAUUAAAGGAGUAAUCCGCUUUGAGAUGGACCCGCGGCGCAUUAGCUAGUUGGUGAGGUAACGGCUCACCAAGGCGACGAUGCGUAGCCGACCUGAGAGGGUGAUCGGCCACAUUGGGACUGAGACACGGCCCAGACUCCUACGGGAGGCAGCAGUGGGGAAUAUUGCGCAAUGGGGGAAACCCUGACGCAGCAACGCCGCGUGAGUGAUGACGGUCUUCGGAUUGUAAAGCUCUGUUUUCAGGGACGAUAAUGACGGUACCUGAGGAGGAAGCCACGGCUAACUACGUGCCAGCAGCCGCGGUAA
rnacentral:rRNA from 1 species